UCAAAUGGGACUGAAAACAAAUAUUCGUAAAUGUCCCCUGCAUAAUUGUAUCUGAAUUACGUAUGUAUCUGACGCAUGUAUGAACAUCUCACUUCAAGCCACUAUGCAUCAUUCAUGCCCUAAACAUCAAAUUGGUGACGAAGUUCCCUGAAUUUCGAUCUGUAAGUAUCAUAUUCGCAUCUUAUCGUAUUUAAUUCAUGAUUUCGUAGAUUAUCUCACUCGAUUUUGUUGCAUAACAUAGAUAAUUUUACAGCAAUUGAAGUAUGAUUUUAGUAGUUGCUAUUAACAGUAGAUUAUUAUGAAUUAAAUACGAUAAGAUCCGUAGAUUAUUAACUAUAGUAGAAGAAAACCACUAUAGUUACUAUGUAUGUACACCACUAAUUAUGCUAUGCAAUACUUGUACUGUGUGUAGUUUAUCAAAAUACACUGAUAUAGAUAUAUAUGCUAUUUUACAUGUAUAUUUAACAAAAACCUAAAAUCCAGCUAUUUUAGAGCGAUAUUUAAUUACUAUUUAUAUUAAAUAACCAAAAAAUAAGUAAAUUGUCGCUAUCUAUCGCUACAACCCUAUAAUAGCGAGCCUAGACCUAUACGCUGGCGAUUGCUACGCUCGCUAUUGACAACUAUGCACACAAGUUAUAAUUUUCUUACAUUAUCUCUCAGUUUUACAUGAAUUACUUAAGUGUUGGUUUUUUUAUAUUAUCCUACACGAUAUAGGAAAUAUAUUCAGGCUGUUUUGAUUAGCAUUACCCUGAAAGUAGGAGAUACCCACCCACCAACAUUCAAAAGUAGUAUUUAGCUGAUAAUCAAUGGUUGCUGAGUUAGUGAGAGGCAUGACUUCCAAGUUUGAAGGUAACAACUGCAGUGCAGAAGCAGAAGAAGAAGAUGCUCUUCCUUCUUAUCACAUUGUAGGCGAUGUAUGUGUUGAGUGAGUACACUAAUGCGUGAGAUCUUGGAUGAGAAAAUCGGCUUCUCUUGGUAGAGGAUGCUUCCGGUAGGAGUAGUACAAGGAAAUGGGAUAGUGUGUAGUCUUAGGUAACAUGAAAUUGGAUGAAUCCAUCUAUUUGUUAAGUGUAAUCGAUGACAGAAGAUGGGAAAGUUUGCGAACCACAAGUUCAAGGUAAAACAACACUAGAUCCCACAAAAGGUCUUACUUGCUUGUUGGAAGUGUGGCAAGCAGGGGCGGACUUAGAAGGUUAUUAGGGAUCCCUCAACCCCGUUUCCAUAGUGUAAAAAUACACCUUAACUCCGUUUUCGUAGUGUAAAAAUACCCCUCAACUUCGUCUCGGUUAUACAAAGGAUACCCCUGGUCUAAAAAAAUAAAAAAAUGGUAUACCCAUAGUUGUCGAUAACGAAUAGCGACAAGGCACCUAUAGGCUACGUUGCAAAAAAUGGGUUUCUGAACUGGAAUUUAAUUGAACUCGUGCAUGUCCGCACGUCUUGCGGACAAGAAUGCAGCUCCGAAAACGGGCCCGCGUGUGCCAGUUUUUGCACAUUAACCGGCUGUCGCUAAGUUCGCUAUUCGUCGCUAAGACCCAUAUAGCGACAAGAAGGCCGGUUUUAAACUGAUUCAUUCGGUUAUUAUUACACGUAUAACCAGAACUGAACCAUAAAAGCUGGCUAUGAAAAAAAAUCAUAACCGGAUCAUCAAUUUGGUUAUUUCGUUAUGCUCAGUGUUGGAAAAAUUGGGAUUAAUAGUCAACUAAUCGCUAGUUGGCUGGAAUAGGCCAUUAUGGCCGCCAGAUUCCCGCUAGAUUUCAGCCAAAACCUGUAAAUUUCGGCCUGAUUCCGGCAAAAACCUGUAAAUUCCUGCGAUUAAUCCUGUAUACGACAUGGGUUAAAAUGUGUCUACUUAUAAAAAUGUGUGUACUGUAGAUAUUAAACUGAAAAUUACAUAUAAAAAUCCCAAUCCGAUUAAUCACGACUAAUCUUGAUUAAUCACUAGUCGAUACCCCACCGGCUGACUAGUGCCUAGCGAUCCUUACAACAAUGGUUACGGUUUAGUUAUUCGGUUUUUCUACUCAACCCUAGCAUAAAAUCCGUGACAAAGUUAAAGUUGUAAUUUUCGGAUGAUUGAGUCAUUAAUGCUAUUUAAUAUCUCCGAGUUCUAUAUAAACGGCCUACCCCCCCAAUUGCUUUGAUAUCAUCGAACCGGUGGUUGGUCCUACAUACAAAACCCUAAAAUCAUAGUAACAGAGCGCCAGUGAUUCGUUCGCCACAUACAAUGGCAGCAGAUGAGCGAUCCCUGAUUGAGCUCCCAAAAGUCAAUCUGGAAGCUGUUCUUACUAAGUUGCCGUUACGAUCUCUCCUUGUGUUUCCAAGUCUCUGUUGAAUCUCAUUAAAAAUGAUUCAGAGUUUGCACAAGUGCAUCUUGCAAAAUCAGAACCCCGAUUAAUGAUCCAGUGUCUCUUAGAUCCAAGUCUUCACUUGAUUGAUGUGGGUACCGAUACUGCUUCGCGUCCAAUUUUAACAUCCCUUUAAAUGGCUUUGAAAUAACACAUUCGUGUAAUGGGUUGUAUGUUAUACUACAACCCUGUUACUUACAGGUGAAUAAUACACAUUGCUUCCUGAAACUAGAAUUCGUUAUAGAACUGUUUUUUACUGCCCAAAAACACACCGAUUUGAAGUUCUUCUAUGCAUGUUUUACCGGUUGAAACCUUAUUCAGAUGUUUCAUCUCAUAUUGGAUUAGAUCCGAUUCCGGCCUCCGAUUCAGAUCCUGAUUAAUCUCAUUGGAGUAGGGAUGUGAGAGGUACCAACUUGGAAGUGGUAAAGGUGGCACCAAGGCUUGCUGAUCCAAAUUCGAGCGCGCGUAACAAUCUGGAGAUAUCAACUUUCUCAGAGGAGGCCGGGACUGCAAAUUGAACCGUUGGAUGUUCCUUUCCUAACCGCUGUCAUCUAGCUGCAUAGCGGGUUGAUCGUGACCUUAAGGGGUUCAAUCCUAGUAGUUAUGUGUUCUGGUACUAGUUUAAUCAAUGUUUAAAUGUUUGAUGACUUUUGUUUGGUUUCUGGGCUAGUUCUUCUUUUAUAUUGGUAGUAAAGUAAUAGUAAUUUGCAUUUGGU
rnacentral:lncRNA from 1 species